CCUAAGGGUGGCAGCAGUGGGGAAUAUUGGACAAUGGGCGAAAGCCUGAUCCAGCCAUGCCGCGUGUGUGAAGAAGGCCUUCGGGUUGUAAAGCACUUUCAGUGGGGAAGAAAGCCUUGGGGCUAAUACCCUCGAGGAAGGACAUCACCCACAGAAGAAGCACCGGCUAACUCCGUGCCAGCAGCCGCGGUAAUACGGAGGGUGCGAGCGUUAAUCGGAAUUACUGGGCGUAAAGCGCGCGUAGGCGGUCUGAUAAGCCGGUUGUGAAAGCCCCGGGCUCAACCUGGGAACGGCAUCCGGAACUGUCAGGCUAGAGUGCAGGAGAGGAAGGUAGAAUUCCCGGUGUAGCGGUGAAAUGCGUAGAGAUCGGGAGGAAUACCAGUGGCGAAGGCGGCCUUCUGGACUGACACUGACGCUGAGGUGCGAAAGCGUGGGUAGCAAACAGGAUUAGAUACCCUGGUAGUC
rnacentral:rRNA from 1 species